rnacentral:lncRNA from 1 species
CUCAACCCGGGACCCAGCUGGGACAGCCUGGUGGGUCCAGCUGGGGAUUUUGUGCCUGAUGCCCACAGGGUGGUCAUACACGUGGAAGCAUCUCCUUUUCCUAAAGGGCUCGGCAGUGGAGCUCCGUGAUGGGUAGACACAUGACAAUAAAUGAGCACCUCAUUCAAACGCACUUGUGCUUCAACAGCUGGUUUCAUGAGGAUGGUGGACAGAUGAGGACUUGCUGCCGCUGGCAUCCUGUCCUGGUGACAUAUGGUUUGGGACGCAGGGCUGCCCAGCCCGUGUGAAUAUCUCACAGCAUCUUGUCGCAGCGCCUCCCUGACCGUGUUUCUGAUGAGCCUCUUAAUAGCAAAGGGUUUUAAUAGAUUCUUAAUAAGAAUACCCAAAGAAGUAACAAUUAUUUUCUAAUUAUAAAGUGUUCUUGCUUCUAAAUAUGCAUCCUGUUCUGUGUGUGUGUUGGGCACGUGUUCAAGUAUUUGCAGACGGAGGCGCUGGCCUGGCCCCAUCCUGGCUGGCUUCCUUUGUCUACGCUCUGCUCCGCCGGCCCAGCGUGUGCAAAGGGGAACAGAUGGGCGCUUCUCCUCCAGUUAGAUCUGCAGAUGCCACUUGGGCUUAGAGCUCUGAAAAGCCAGAGACACAAAAACCUCUCUGCCUUCCUGCAAAGGGUAUGUUUUCCAGCUCUCUGCGGUGGCAGCUCCUAAAUCCUCUGAAAACCAGCUUGUUCUCAAUCCUCCUGUAAAAGCUGAAAGGCAAGAUGGACCCCAGGUUCAUCUGUGUGGUCACGUGAGCAGACUUCAGCCUGACAUGCAAUGAACAAAUAUUUAAAGUACAAAUUGUACCUGCAGAGAGUCGGACAUGACAGAGAGACUGGGCAGCAGAUUGUGCCACUAGACCAAGAAUUGUUUAAAAUCCGUUCUUUCUGAGAGGCCCACAUGGACCCAGGUAGAAAUCGUUUCAGACUUUUUCUCAAAAACCACAUAUUAAAAAAAAAAACUUUUAUUUGGUAUUGAGGUAUAGCCGAUUAACAACGGUGUGACAGUUUCAGGUA